rnacentral:rRNA from 1 species
GACGAACGCUGGCGGCGUGCCUAAUACAUGCAGGUAGAACGCUGAGGACUGGUGCUUGCACUGGUCUAAGGAGUUGCGAACGGGUGAGUAACGCGUAGGUAACCUACCUCAUAGCGGGGGAUAACUAUUGGAAACGAUAGCUAAUACCGCAUGACAAUAGGGGUACACAUGUACCCUAUUUUAAAAAGGGGCAAAUGGCUUCACUAUGAGAUGGACCGUGCGUUGUAUUAGCUAGUUGGUAAGGUAACGGCUUACCAAGGCGACGAUACAUAGCCGACCUGAGAGGGUGAUCGGCCACACUGGGACUGAGACACGGCCCAG